rnacentral:rRNA from 1 species
AACGUAGGAGACAAACGUUAUCCGGAGUUACUGGGCGUAAAGGGCGUGUAGGCGGUCUGUUAAGUCUGGCGUGAAAGCUCUCGGCUAAACCGGGAGAGGUCGUUGGAUACUGGCAGACUAGAGGACGGUAGAGGCGUGUGGAAUUCCGGGGUGUAGUGGUGAAAUGCGUAGAGAUCCGGAGGAACACCAGUGGCGAAGGCGACACGCUGGGCCGUACCUGACGCUAAAAGCGCGACAGCAUGGGGAGCAAACGGG